rnacentral:rRNA from 1 species
AUUGAACGCUGGCGGCAGGCCUAACACAUGCAAGUCGAACGGUAACAGGAAGACGCUUGCUUCUUUGCUGACGAGUGGCGGCCGGGUGAGUAAUGUCUGGGAAACUGCCUGAUGGAGGGGGAUAACUACUGGAAACGGUAGCUAAUACCGCAUAACGUCGCAAGACCAAAAAGGGGGACCUUCGGGCCUCUUGCCAUCGGAUGUGCCCAGAUGGGAUUAGCUAGUAGGUGGGGUAACGGCUCACCUAGGCGACGAUCCCUAGCUGGUCUGAGAGGAUGACCAGCCACACUGGAACUGAGACACGGUCCAGACUCCUACGGGAGGCAGCAGUGGGGAAUAUUGCACAAUGGGCGCAAGCCUGAUGCAGCCAUGCCGCGUGUAUGAAGAAGGCCUUCGGGUUGUAAAGUACUUUCAGCGGGGAGGAAGGGAGUAAAGUUAAUACCUUUGCUAAUUGACGUUACCCGCAGAAGAAGCACCGGCUAACUCCGUG